UACGUAGGUGACAAGCGUUGUCCGGAUUUACUGGGCGUAAAGAGCGCGCAGGCGGUCGAUCAAGUCGAGUGUGAAAGCCCCCGGCUCAACUGGGGAGGGUCACGCGAUACUGAUCGACUCGAAGGCAGGAGAGGGUAGUGGAAUUCCCGGUGUAGUGGUGAAAUGCGUAGAUAUCGGGAGGAACACCAGUGGCGAAGGCGACUUCCUGGCCUGUUCUUGACGCUGAGGCGCGAAAGCUAGGGUAGCAAACGGG
rnacentral:rRNA from 1 species